AUACGGAGGGUGCAAGCGUUACUCGGAAUCACUGGGCGUAAAGGACGCGUAGGCGGUUUGGAAAGUCAGAUGUGAAAGCCUACGGCUCAACCGUAGAACUGCAUCUGAAACUCCCAGACUAGAAUGAGGGAGAGGUCAGUGGAAUUAGUGGUGUAGGGGUAAAAUCCGUAGAGAUCACUAGGAAUACUCAUUGCGAAGGCGACUGACUGGAACUUAAUUGACGCUGAGGCGUGAAAGUGUGGGGAGCAAACAGGAUUAGAAACCCUAGUAGUCC
rnacentral:rRNA from 1 species